GAUGGUUGGAGGAAGAGAAUUCCACAGUUUUGGGGCAGCGUUAAAAGUUCUUAUGUAACCUGUUAUGACAAAAAUUUUGAGUUUCCUGAAUUUGUUCGGAGUUUACAGUGAGUAAAAAUGACCUUUAAAGCCACUAUAUAAAACUAAAAAUAAUAACAAUAAUAAUAAUAAUGAAGACAGAAGAGCUCAUGUUUACAUUUCCCUCACAAAGUUUCAUGUUGGUUUUCUGCCUAAGAACAUUUAUGAUUAUUACUUCAUGGAAAUGCAAUCAGACCGAGGCGCUUAGGCAGAAGAACUAACGCGUCUGCAGUGCAAAAUGAUUAAUAUGGUGAUAAAUUCUUAAAGGAAAUGAUAAAGAAAUCAUCAUAAAUGUUCUUCUUUGAGCUGCAUCACCCUGCAGCAGUUCGUAAUGGAUUGGCCAAAGGUCUCACUACAAACAAGCGGCUGCCGGAAGAGAGUAGGUGAGUUGUGUUUGGUCUCUUUGCGAAAGAAAUCAGGCAAAGUAAAAAAGGAUGUUUGGUGGUUUGUACUAUGGCUGGGACCCUAUAUGUACUGUUGAUGAAAUUAGGUGGUGUUCUGAGCAUUUUUUGAAACGUGAACAUGCAGUAAGGCCAAUACAAACAAAUAUCUCUAUUAUUCUGUGAUUAUUGGACUUUGUGACCAAUUAGAGAAUAAAUCAGUAAAAAUAAAUAAAUAAAUACAAAAACAUAUAGAACUCAGGAGUGACACUUUGUUGACAUUGAUAGUACCAACACUGGACAAUUAUUUUGUCACCAGUAUAAAAGGCUGAUGUUGAUAGAUAUACCUUUAUAUACCUAUAUACCCAUAAAUACCUACAUUUACCUAUAUAUACACCUAUAUUCUUAUAAAUACCAAUAAAUACCUAUAUACCUACCUAAUACCUAAUAUAUACCUAUAUAGUAGGACUGGGCAAUUUGGCAAAAAAAAAGAUCACAAUAUAUUUUGUCAUAUCGUCCAAUCUCGAUUAUUAUCACACUUUUUUGUAUUUUAUUAAACUGCUCGUUUUAAAUCAUCUGUACUAAAAACUAAAGAAACAACAAAUUAGUUCAACAUUUUAUUAACAUACAAAGUAAAUAACAAAGCACAUUGAAUGAUACUAAAUAAUACAGUAAACUAGUUUACUACUAGUUUAGUUUAAACUAGUUUUUGCAGGUAUGCAAGAACCAAAAUAAACAAAUUGCCCCCUCAGGCAUAAUGAGGACAUCUUAAAAUGUAAACAUUAGAUGAUAUAGACGUAGAUGAUACGAUUGAUUACUGCUUUUUACUGCUUUGGUCUGGUGGCUGCACCGCUAGUUGUGGCUAAACUGCUAAUGCUAGUGUCGUCAGCAGUAUCAGGCUGUGCAGACUCCACUUGCAUUUUCAUGUUUUCUGCAUAAUCACCCGGGAAGUACUUCUUAAAAUCAUUAAACAGAUCUGUUGUGUUGCCGGUUUUUGAGGGCACCUUAAACUUUUCUUCUCAACAAUGGUAUCUUGAGAGGAUGACUCAAAGUCAUGGCUUACAUCUAUUUUGCUGCCAUCAGCUCUGCGUUUAGCUCCAAGUCAUUCCGUUUACUUCCCCUGAUAGCAUUUCCGGCAACUUGCAGAAAAGGGGAGGAAAAGCUUGACUCUGAUUAGCUGUUGAGAUGCACAUGUUUGAUCCCCUUACCCCAUACACUGGGUAAGUUGACCGUAGGAGACCUUUUUUUUUGGCAUGCUUUAUUAUCAAGACAGUUAUGUUUACACUCAUUCUGUUGGUUUGCAGGGAUGCACAAUAUCUUGAAAUAUAUGCAGAUACACUAGUUAGAGACAAAACUAUGAUUGCCGUGAUGUAAUGAUCUAAAAUAUGAAAAAAUGGCUCAUCUUACCCCACUCUCCCCUAUAUACACAUCUAUAUUCCUAAAAAUAACAAUAAAUACCUCUAUAUACCUAUACCUCUACUUCUAUAUUCUGCAGCUUCCUCUCUGUUUAGAAGCAAAAUGUUUCUCCUGCUGCUCUCAGAGACAGCGUUGGAUUCAGAUCAGAUAAACAUUGAAAUGUUUUCCUACUCUGAUUUAUCAGAUUAAUAUCUGAUUAUCUGAUCAAGUAAUGAAGAUGAACAUGGACAAAUGGAUGAGCUCAUUCUCCUUGUUCAUGCAGAAAAAAACAUAAAUGUAAUGUAUUAAUGGCUUUCUCUUUUUUCCUCUGUCUCUUUUCUUAGAUAAGUCAAACAGAUCUCUCAGUCUGGUCUAAAGUGGACUGUUCUCAGGGGUCUCAUUCUCCACCAUUUUCAGCUCUGGUAUAGCAGCCUUUACACUGCUAUACCAGAGCUGAGAAGGUCUUCACACAGACCCUCUGUUUCUGUCUGUUAUCACACACUGAUUGAACGUCGAAUGGCUGGUCCAUGAUUUUAAAUAUUGAUUCAACAGUUAAGAGCAGUAGUUUGCUGGCUUUGAGGUACGACAAUGAUAAAAGUUGUAGUGUAGUGAAAGCUGACUGAGCCAAGAUACUUAAUUUUGGAUAAAUUUCUAUUUUCUUUCUACAAGUAGGUGGGCUGAAAUUGUGAUGGUCGUGUUGAGAAAGUUCACUUUCUACCCGAACUCGUUCAAAGUUCAGUUCACACAUUUUAAAACGAACUAGUUCAGUUCAUCGCUCAUAAUUCCACAUUUUGAACUUAAAGGUGGGGUAGGCAGGAUCUGAGGAAGUGCCAGUUUUGGGGAGAAAACUUGAAUGUAAACACUACCCCUCUGAACCAGUUUUCCCUUCAGCUCCUCCUCUUUCCUCCCUCUCUGCUCCAGCAAGCCCUGCCUAUAAAACAGACGCUUGUUAAUAAUAAUAAUAAAUUUUAUUUGAAGGCGCCUUUCUGACACUCAAGGUCACCGUACAAAUCACAUUAAAAAACAGCAUAAAACAUUUAAAACACAUUUAAGAGCAAUACAAAAAAAAUAAAUGAAUAAAAAAAUAAGAAAAUAAAUAAGGAAAAACAAAAGAGACAGAGAAAUGGAAAUUAUGGUGGAUAGGCAGUUCUGAACAGAUGUGUUUUGAGUCUUGAUUUGAAAAGGAUGAAAGAGUCAGUGUUCUUGAGAUCGGGUGGUAAUGAGUUCCAGAGCCGCGGAGCUGAAUGCUCUGCUCCCCAUGGUGUUGAGGCGGGCGGGGGGGACAGACAGGUGUAUGGAGGAAGAGGAUCUGAGGGCGCGGGAGGGUGUUGUAACGUGGAGCAGAUCAGACAGAUAUGAAGGGGCGAGGUUGUGAAUGGCCUUAAAUGUAAGGAGGAGAACUUUGAACUGGAUGCGGAACUGGACCGGGAGCCAGUGGAGCUGUUGGAGGACUGGAGUGAUGUGGUGGAAGAAGGGGGUACGGGUUAUGAUGCGGGCAGCUGAAUUCUGGACAAGUUGGAGUUUAUGGAGGGUUUUUUUUUGAGGGAGGCCGAAAAGGAGAGAGUGGCAAUAAUCCAGGCAGGAAGUGAUGAGACUGUGAACAAGGAUGGCGGCAGAGUGGGAGGUAUGGAUGUUGCGUAGGUGGAAGUAGGCAGUCCGGGGGGGGGGGGGGGGCAGUGGAGUUGUCGAUAGUUACAGAUAAGCUGUAGGUUUUGGAUAAGGUGGAUUUGGUGCCAAUGUGGAGGACCUCGGUUUUAUUGCUGUUUAAUUUCAGGGAAUUUUGGGUGAACCAGUUUUUUAUUUCAGUGAUGCAGUCAGUAAGGGAGGUGGGUGGGAGAGAAGGGGAGGGUUUGGUGGCGAGAUAGAGCUAGGUGUCAUCGGCAUAACAGUGAAAAUGGAUGUUAUAUUUAUGGAAGAUAUUGCCAAGGGAAAGGAGGUAGAUGAUGAAGAAAAGGGGCCCCAGGACAGAGCCCUGGGGCACACCAGAGGUAACGGGGGAGGGGGUGGAUUUGAGGGACUUGAGUUCGAUGUAUUGAGUGCGGCCAGAGAGGUAUGAUGUGAACCAGUUCAACGGGGUGUGGGUGAUGCCAAUGGUGGAUAGCCGGUGGAGGAGGGUGGUGUGACAGAUGGUAUCGAAAGCUGCAGUUAGGCCAGGAGGAUGAGGAUGGUGAGGAGUCCAGAAUCAGCUGCCAUGAGAAGGUUGUUGGUGAUUUUGAUGAGUGCUGUUUCGGUGCUGUGGAGUGGGUGGAAACCGGACUGGAAUUGUUCGUAGAGGUUAUUGUGGGAUAGGUGGGAAUGGGAGUUGGGAGGCAACUGUUCUUUCGAGGAUUUAGGAGAUGAAAGGUAGGUUGGAUAUGGGACGGAAGUUGUUGAAGUUGGAGCAGUCUGCACCAGGUUUUCUCAGAAUUGGGGUAAUGGCAGCAGUUUUGAGGGAUGUUGGGACAGUUCCAGUGGUAAGAGACGAUUGGAUGAUGGCAGAGAUGAGGGGGACCAGGGAGGGGGAGCAGGCUUUAACAAGUUGUGUGGGGAGGGGGUCCAGUUGGCAGGUGGAUGGUUUGGAUUUCUGGAUGAGUUCAGUGAUCUCAGAGAGGGAGGGGAGAUGGAAGGAGGAGAAUGGGUGUUAGUGCGGGUGCCAGUCAGCUGAGAUGCUGGGGUGAGGGGUUGAUCCGAGGUAUCCGGCAUUAUGGAGUUGCAGAAGGAGGCUGUGUAGCAGUGAGAGGGGAGAGAGUCUUGGGGUUGGGUGAUAUUGUUGAGGAGAGAGAAGAGUGUUUUGGAGUUUCCUUGAUUGGCGGUGAUUAUCCUGGAGUAGUAGUGUGCUUUGGUGCUGGUGAUUGAGUCCUUGUAAACUGACAUGUGGUUGUUGUAGAUUUCCUUGUGAAUAGUGAGACCCGUUUUCCUGUAGAGGCGUUCCAGUUGUCGACCUUUAGCCUUCAUGAGGCAGGGAGCAGGGGUGAACCAGGGGGCGGAGACGGUGAAGGAGACGGAUCUGGUUUUUAACGGGGCGAGGGUAUUAAGAAUAUUAAGGAGUCCAGUGUUGUAGUGAGAAACCAGAUCGUCGGGGGUGGAUAGAAUUUGGAUGUCAAGGAGGCAGGGGGAGUGGAUGCUGGAGGUGAGAGUGGCCGGGGUAAUAUUCUUUAUAUUCCGGAAUGAGUUGAGGCGUGGUUUUUUUGAGAUGGAAAGAGUGAGUCUCACUGUAAAUGAUAUAAGAAAGUGGUCAGAUAUGGGGAGUUCAUUGGCUGUGAGAUCAGAGGGGGUGACACCAGAGGGGCAAAUUAAUCCAGAAUAUGUCCUUUGGAGAGUGUGGGGAAAUUGAUAUGUUGGUGACAGCCAAAACUUUCUAAACAGGAGGUGAAGUCUUUGGUGAGAGGCAGGUUGAUAUUGUCCAUGUGGGUAUUGAAAUCACCCAGUAUUAUUAUGUUAGGUGAGAGAGAUGAUAAAUGGGUGAGAAAGGCACGGGGUUGUGAAAUGUUAACAAACCCACUAGGAGUGGAUUCGUUCAGCUGGGUGAAGUCGUUGGGCUGUUGCCAUGUUUCGGUUAAAGAGAGAAAGUCCAGUUUAUUGUCGGUGAUGAUGUCCUGGAUGAGUUGUCCCUUGUUGGUCAGUGAGGGAAUGUUCAGAAGAGCAAAUGGAGUGAGGAGCUGUCAGAGCAAGUGGAGGUGUUAGCGGACCGGGCUAGGUGGGCUAACACACUGUGGUUAACAGCCCUGCUGGUGGAGCAUGGAGGGUGACGAGAAGUGGACCAGAUGGAUCUUAUUGCUGUUGAGCAAGAAGGAGUAGGAAGGUGUGACAUUGAAGAAGAAGAGGCAGACAUGGGAGGAGCCGGCUCGGCCAUGGGGGGAGAAUAGUAACAAUGGGAAGCAAAAUUUUAAAUUGGCCGCUAGCAUGCGGCAGCCCCGCCUGUUUGGAUGGAGACCGUCAGACUUGUAAAAUGAAACUCGGUCCCAGAAUAAAUUAAAAUUAUCAAUAAACUGGACGUUGUAGGUCCUACAGGCUGACUGCAGCCAAGUGUGAAGGCCGAGUAGCCUGCUGAAUGACUCAGAGCCAGGCCUGAGAGUGGGAAUUGGGCCGCUAAUUAGGACCGACUUGCCGGUGCGAGUGAGGAAGCUUAGCAGGUUGGUGAAACUGGUCUUGGUCACUUCUGACUGUUGACGGGCCAUGUCAUUUGUCCCCACAUGGAUUAUUAUUGUCUGGACUGAGGGUGGCAGGGAGGGAAGCAGAUGGGGGAGCACCGCAAGAAUGUAGGAGACCGUCGCCCCGGGGAGACACUGUGUAAUUGUGUUAAAGAAGCGAGUGUUCCUGAUUAUGGAGUCACCAACGAUUAAUGAGGAUGGGGGAAAAAGGGGGCGAGGGGAAGUUGGGAGUGGACUUAAGGAGCUAGUAGCUAGAGGAACAUUUUCCACCGAGCGGGUUGCUUCUGUAUCCACCAGCGACAGUGAGGGAGGAGGAGCAGGGCGGACAGAGGGGGGGCGAGCCAGAGUUCUCUGUGGUGCUGGCGUGAGGAGCAGUAUGGAGCGGCAACGACAGGCAGGGUGGGUGGGCUUGGCUGAGCUGAGAGCGGGGACUGGGGGAGAGAGGGUACUGCGGGACUUCUGGGACAAGCAUGGGAACGGGGAGGUGGGCUGUGACUCAGUUGGGAAGGGGGGGAAAUCAUUGGGAUCUAGGAUGUCAAAUCUAUUAGCUGUGUGAAGUUUGAAAAGCGGGGUCUGCGGUUGGCUCCUCAGUUUGCUGGCACGGGAGCUGACCAUAGACCAGUGCUCCUGAGAUGGAGUGGAGCUCAACGGAGCCUUAGGUUUGGCCCCUGGCCGAGCCCAGGAGACAUCGGAGAUGGAGGGUGGAGGCCAAGCAGCUGACGGUGAAGGAGGAGCAGCAGCAGACCCGGCGGGUGAAGGGGGAACAGCUGCGAGAGUGGAAACAGCAGGCUCUGAGCGACAGGUGGAUGCAGUGCUGUCAGGUUCAGGAUCCCAGGAGUGAUUUCCGGUGACGGGUUGUGCCGCAGAAAAGAUGAUGGUGUCGAGCAGCUUCUCGGCUUCCUGGAUCUUGUAAAGCGUGGAGAUCUUUCCCUCAAGCUCCAAGAUUUUAUCGGCGAGGGCAGCGCAGCUGACGCAGCCAGAUGGAGAGGAGAGUGGGGCCCUGAUGUCAGCUGGAGGAAUCAGCCAGGCUGCUAACUCUCACUCAUAUCAUUUCAACUAAAUUCAGAUAUGCAGAUAAAUACUUCAGAUGAUUACAAAUGGGGCCCAGUCAAUGUGAGAGUAAAAAGCAUUGGUGCUACUGUAGAUGCCAACAGACUACCAGCAAACACAAUGUUUGCAGGACUUCUACAACUAGGACAAAGUGACAUACUCCAGGACCUGAGCUAAACAGUUUAGCAACGUUACAACAUGCAGCAGGUCCCUUUUGACAAGAAACACUUCUGUUACACUUGGCUCACUUUGUUAAAGCAGUUUACCUGUCCAGUAGAAAGGUUACAGGGUCCGUAAGAGCCCAAAGCCUACCCCAUCAUUUAUGAUUCAUUGAUGUUGAUCCGGCUUUUUAGCUCUUGUCCGGUCUACCUCCAUUUCAAGUGCCUGUUAUUCCGCCAGAGUCUCCGGUAUUUACUUUGUUUUAUUGCUUGUGUUUUUGUACUUUCUGGUUGGUUUCUACUGC